AGCAUCUGGGGAGACGAGGAUCCGGGCCGGGCAAGAGAUCGGUCACCGCAUGGCGGCCCGGGGAGUCAGUGGUGAGACCGCCCCCGACCCG
rfam:Actinoplanes sp. SE50/110, complete genome.